rnacentral:rRNA from 1 species
ACGAGUGGCGGACGGGUGCGUAACGCGUGGGAAUCUACCUUGUAGUGGGGGAUAGCCCGAAGAAAUUCGGAUUAAUACCGCAUAAUCUCUACGGAGCAAAGUGGGGGAUCUUCGGACCUCACGCUAUUAGAUGAGCCCGCGUUGGAUUAGCUUGUUGGUGGGGUAAAGGCCUACCAAGGCGACGAUCCAUAGCUGGUUUGAGAGGGUGAUCAGCCACACUGGGACUGAGACACGGCCCAG